GACCCUUUAGCUCAGUGGUAGAGCGUUGCAUUCCAGUUGUUUUGACCGUUGUUCUGCAUCGCAAAGGCCGUCCGUUCAAUCCGGGCAAGGGUCA